GAUGAACGCUAGCGGGAGGCUUAAUACAUGCAAGUCGAGCGGUAACUGACCGAUAGCAAUAUUGGUUAGCUAGAGCGGCGCACGGGUGAGUAACGCGUACAUAACCUACCCUAUACUGGGGGAUAGCCUUGGGAAACUGAGAUUAAUACCCCAUGGUAUUAUUUGGCCACCUGGUUGAAUAAUUAAAGUUGCGGCGGUAUAGGAUGGGUGUGCGUCUGAUUAGCUAGUUGGUAGGGUAACGGCCUACCAAGGCGAUGAUCAGUAGGGGGCGUGAGAGCGUGGUCCCCCACACGGGUACUGAGACACGGACCCGACUCCUACGGGAGGCAGCAGUAAGGAAUAUUGGUCAAUGGAGGAAACUACUGAACCAGCUAUCCCGCGUGAAGGAUGAAGGGGCUCUGCCUUGUAAAC
rnacentral:rRNA from 1 species